CGUAACCGGUGCGUGUUUCUGUAGUUAGCUAGCACAAUCGAAAUGGGUGAGAUGAUAUUCAUACUAAUUCAUAAUUAAUCACAAUGCACAUCUCAGAAAUAAUUCUGACCAACUACAGUGUUACUUACAAUUAGCUGAUUACAAGUGUUAUACACUCUGCGUAACAACCGGGCCAAACUAAGAGCAUCUGAAAGGAAAUGGUGUAAAUCUAACAACCCAACUGACCUAACCAAUUACCAGACACUUCUCUCCUCUUUUUCCAAUAGCAUCUCCUUUGCUAAAGCCACAUACUACCAAGAGUAGAUUGGCAGUUCUCCCAACACCCGCACUCUCUUCAAAACCUUUUCCUCUCUUCCCUGUCCCCCUCCUCCCCCUUCCCUUACCUCUCUCACAGCAGAUGACUUUGCCACUUUCUUUUCCAACAAGGUUACAUCAAUCAGGAACCAGUUCUCAACCCCAGACAUGCACAGACCGGCUCCUCCUCCAUGUAACUCCCAACUUUCUUCCUUCUCUCCCCUCUCAGGGACUGAUGUCUCUAAACUCCUCUCUAGGCGUCCCACAACCUGUCCUCUUGACCCUAUCCCUUCUCACCUUCUUCAGUCCAUCUCUCCCACACUAUUACCUGCACUCACACACAUCUUUAACACAUCCCUCUCUAUGCAGGAAAUUUUCGUCUUCUUCGGCCUGCCCUGGCCCUGCUAGCUCAAUCACUUUUAACACUUCUAUACUUUAUUAACCAAUCUGACUUAUACUUUAAAGAAAUAACUUUACCAAAACUCUCGGAGACUGGAUACAGAUAAGGCAGGUUUAUUCAGCAAGUUACCAAACAAACCAGUAUUGCUGGACCAGGGAUACGUGCUUGACCCGUAGGUGGCAAGUAUCAAAGUACAAUCCUUUACUGUUGUCUUAUAUACAAUUAAAGCAUGCAUGUACCUUUAGGGAGGACCCUCUUAUCUCAACUUGCACCUUUUCACUGUGUUGGCCCUCAAGUUUUUUCUAGUAUAACUUUUGCCUCCAUCUGUUCUCGUGCAUCAUUAGCCAACAUCUGUUUUUCUUUAUUAUUUAUUACUUUUGGGAGGCUUCUUCCUUAUCUCCUUCAACCUAAAGCAUCUGCAUCUCUUGUUUUCGCUGAACCAUGGACGUACGAUCUAAUCCCAUCAACCCUGGGCCUUCUAAACAACACCCGGGAUCAUCUUUUAAGAGGAAGACGGCAGUAGUUCCUACACAGACCCAAUUUACCGGACCCCUUCUCAAACGGCAUAAAGUGGACUCUGGCACUCAGACACAUUUAACCGUGCUGCCUUUACGGAAAGAGAGAACAGAGGCAUCUACUCAAACUUCUAUCUCAGUACCCCUCAUGAAGAAAAGAUAUUCAGAUGCGGCUAUCCAGACGAGCUAUACGAUGUCUUAUGGCACGCAAACACCCCCGAUUUCUACCGCGUCUAAAGGCCCUCAGGCUUCUCAACUUCCUUGGGCUGUAAACAGGAAAACCAUUCAUCCCCCGAUUUUUCGUGUAAAACCUCUGUUAAAAAAUAAUUCUUUUAUAUGUGUUUACUUAAUUAAACUGCAUAACGUUUCUUAAACUCU